AUGACUCAUGACUGCAGGGACUAUAAAGGCUUUCGGGUGUCUUCAAAUCCCGGUUAAUGUUUGGUGUCAGUAUGAGGGCUCUUGUGGUUUUUGCGUUGGGAGUGCUGGGCUUUAGUCUGGCCGAAGGUCGAGUCGUGACCAAAUGCGAACUGAGGCAGCGGCUGUUCCAGGUGAUCGCCACCCUCCCACAGUCAGCUCAGCAGUCGGGACUGAAAGCCGAUGACAUUGUUGCCAAGAUCGUGUGCCAUGCAGAGCAGGGCUCCAACUUCACCACUAGUCUUAUAACUCAAGUUGCGGCUGAAAAAGGCAAGCACGGCGCCGUGGCGAGCACAGAGCCCCCCCACGCCCGAAAUCGACGCCACUCCAACCAGGGACAAAGCAGCGGCGAGAACGACGGCGUCUGGGCUAUGUACGGCCUCUUCCAGCUCAGCAGCCCUCAGUUCUGCAGCAGCGGCGAGAAACGCCACGCCCAACAUCUGCCAGACGAGCUGCAGCAGUAAGAUUCAGACUCUGCAGCUUCACGACACACGUUUCCUUUCUCUGGUGUUUGAAUUUUGGUUUUAAAAUUUUGUUUUUUAUAGUUUUGCUUAGAUCUCAAAUCUAUUUUUGAGAAUUCUGAUAUGAUUUUUUUGGAAUUUAUUUACUUUUUAUCUACAAAGCUGC
rnacentral:lncRNA from 1 species